UACGUAGGGUCCAAGCGUUAAUCGGAAUUACUGGGCGUAAAGCGUCCGCAGGUGGUUCGUUAAGCACGAUGUGAAAUCCCUGGGCUCAACCUAGGAAUUGCAUAGUGAACUGGCGAACUAGAGUAUGGCAGAGGGGGGUGGAAUUCCACGUGUAGCAGUGAAAUGCGUAGAGAUGUGGAGGAACACCAAUGGCGAAGGCAACCCCCUGGGCUAAUACUGACACUCAUGGACGAAAGCGUGGGGAGCAAACAGG
rnacentral:rRNA from 1 species